AAUAGAGGUUGAGCCGUUGAGGUCAUACAAAGUUGACAUUAGUAUUUCUUUUACCGAAGCCUGGUACUUGCUAAUGGCUAUGCUGGGGAGAGAGAAAGUAAUUCCUUUUCGAUUCUGUAUACUGUAGUGUGUUCUUUAAUUCACAGGAUUUUUUUUUCACUUAUAUUGUAAGAAAAUUUUCAGACAUGGACUAUUAAACCCAGGUUGAAAGCACUCAUUUUCCCUUUUCUUGCUGAGGUUUGCUGCGAUCCGGAGAGAGAGAGGACUACCACGUCCUUAGUCCCCAACAAUGUGACCUGGCCAGCUUUUGAAGAUCCAGGAUUCUUGCUAGUUGAUUACUAGUAAGAUGGCGGUGGCACGGUUUUUUCGCCUCGUCAAACGCAGAUAUGGGUUCUGUGCGAAGUUUAUCGCAGUGGCCUUGUUGGGUCUCUGUUUCAUAUUUCUUUGGUCUACGUUUUUAUCGUCUUCUUCAGCUGUUGCCUCUCAAAGAAGUAGCUUUAGUGACAUAAAGGAAACGUUUUCGGCGGAUGGGAAGUUAAAAGAUUCAAGGGUUCGACCUAAGAAGAGAGAGCCGGAUGGAAGUGAAGCACACAAAGGUGGUGAUAACACAGUGGAAUCCAUUUUGGGAGGGAAAGACAAGAGAAAGGGAGGUGGGCAUGUUUCCCAUCAUAAUAAUAAUAAUCACAAUGCUGGGAAGAAGGAUAAGGAAGCUGAUCUGGUAAUCUCCAAUGCUACUCGUGUGUCAGAAGGAUCGAACAACGGGGAAUCGCAAAAGAUAGAGGAUCAAGGUCAAAUAGAACAAGAAGAAGAAGAAGUAGAGGAUGCUGAGGAAGAAGAUGGAAGGGUAAUUGAGGAUAGUGAUUUGAAUGACUCAGGAGACCAGCAAAAUGAGGAGAAGUUAGUAGAAGAAAUCGAGGAACCCAUUAGUACAGGGAAGAAGAAAAAGAAGGUGGGUCCAGUGUUUGAUUCAAGAGCUCAAUACACCUGGAAACCGUGUAAUGUAAGGAGCAAAUACAAUUACAUUCCAUGUAUUGACAUUGAGCAUGCCACGAAGAAGUUGCAGAGCUAUCGACAUCGGGAAAGGAGUUGUCCUGGAACACCUAUGUGUCUUGUUCCUCUUCCUCAUGGGGGUUAUCAAUCUCCAGUGCGUUGGCCUGAGAGCAAAUCUAAGAUAUUAUAUGGCAACGUGGCACAUCCAAAACUUGCUGCAUUCAUCAAGACAAGGAGUUGGAUAAUUGAAUCUGAGCAAUAUCUUACUUUCCCAGAAGAUCAGUCAGAGUUCAAGGGUGGAGUCCUAAACUACAUUGAAUCUAUUGAUGAGAUGGUGCCUGACAUUGAAUGGGGAAAGAAUAUUCGCAUAGUACUGGACAUUGGAUGCACUGAUUCAAGCUUUGUAGCUUCUCUUCUUGAGAAAGAGGUAUUAACUUUUUCACUGGGCUUGAAGGAUGAUCUGGUGGAUCUAGCACAGGUUGCUCUAGAGCGUGGUUUUCCUGCAUUUGUGAGCCCUUUUGGAGCAAGAAGGCUUCCUUUUCCUAGUGGCGUUUUUGAUGCCAUUCACUGUGGUGCAUGUGGCAUACGGUGGGAUUCUAAUGAGGGGAAACUUCUAGAGAUGAAUAGGAUUUUGCGACCUGGGGGUUACUUUAUAUCGUCUGCCAAACAUGAAAACAUUCAAGAGGAAGAAGCUAUGUCUUCAUUGACGGCAUCAAUUUGUUGGAAUAUCCUGGCAUAUAAAACGCAUGAAAUCAGUGAAAUGGGUGUUAAGAUAUAUCAGAAACCAGAAUUGAAUGAUAUAUACGCGUUGAGAAGGAAGAAAAGCCCUCCUAUGUGUAAAGAUGAUGAGAACCCAGAUGCAGCCUGGUAUGUUCCAAUGAAGACUUGCUUGCAUAAAAUUCCAACUGGAAUUGAACAACGUGGAACUGAGUGGCCUGAGGAAUGGCCCAAGAGGCUUGAAACUUUUCAUGAUUGGUUGGUUAACAAAGAGAAUGUGGUUGCAGAGACUGAGCGCUGGAAGGCUAUAGUCAACAAUUCCUAUCUCAAUGGCAUGGGUAUUGAUUGGUCAAGUAUCCGGAAUGUGAUGGACAUGAAAUCAAUUUAUGGAGGAUUUGCAGCUGCUCUAUUAUCACAGAAAGUUUGGGUGAUGAAUGUGGUCCCAGUCAAUGCACCAGAAACACUUGCCAUCAUAUAUGAGCGUGGACUUUUGGGCAUAUACCAUGACUGGUGUGAGUCUUUUGGCACUUACCCAAGAUCCUAUGAUCUUUUGCAUGCCGAUCAUCUCUUCUCACGGCUUAAGAACAGAUGUAAGCAGCCUGUAGGGAUUGUUGUUGAGAUGGACCGAAUACUACGGCCUGAUGGUUGGGCUAUUAUACGUGACAAGGUGGAGAUACUUGAUCCUCUGGAAGUAAUCUUGAGAAGUUUGCAUUGGGAGAUCCGAAUGACUUAUGCACAGGAUAAAGAGGGUAUCAUCUGUGCACAGAAAACAACGUGGCGGCCAUGAAGUCUUGUGGGGGCAGUUUAUAUUGGAUGGCCAAAAUUCCAUGUCAUUUAAGAGGGAUAAGCCCUGAGCUUGUGUUAUUCCCACUCCUUUUCUAUCCCACAAAAGUGAGGAUAUUUUGUGACUGAAAUCUUCUUCGUAGCUCAAGUCUCCCAUCGUUCAGGGAAUAGAGAUUCAACAGCCAGCCCCGAUGGAAUUGUUUAUCCGGUUCCAUAUAGUGUAGUCAGUAUGAAUGUUUAGUGGAGGCCUGCUUGCUUUGUUGAAAAAGGCCAAAGCCAGAAUAUUUUAUAAGUUCCUUCAGCUCUCAUGGUUGGAGCAUUAAAUUUAAGUUUUUAUUUUUUAUUUUUUAUUUUUUAUUUUUUAUUUAAUGAUAAGUUGAUGAGCAGCUCGGCCGUGAAGCUCGAAAAUGAACACACUUAAAGAUAUAGGAGGUGUGUGGAGCUCAUGAAAUAGAAAUGCUUUUGCAACAGAUUCUAUGUUUGUAUAUGAGUUUAUCCUUCGUCAAGCUGUGAAGAGGACUGACAACUCAGAUGAUUAUUAGUUCUAAAUCUUAUUUUUUUGCGCGGAACUAUUUGAAAUUUUUU